AGCUUGGGUUAUGGAGACUUGGCAGGAUUCGGUAAACCCCCUUGUUUGUGGGGUUCUUUCUACCAAACAGGGAGCCAUUUGGUAGUUUCUACAUGAAGGGACGGCAGUGUGGAGGUCUCAGCGGUAUUUUCCUAACCAAGUGUCCGAUUUGGGUUCCAGACACUUGACGGCAAAACGCCGCUGUUCGGGAGUAUAAGAUGGCCACCGCCAC